GACGAACGCUGGCGGCGUGCUUAACACAUGCAAGUCGAACGGAAAGGCCCUGCUUUUGUGGGGUGCUCGAGUGGCGAACGGGUGAGUAACACGUGAGUAACCUGCCCUUGACUUUGGGAUAACUUCAGGAAACUGGGGCUAAUACCGGAUAGGAGCUCCUGCUGCAUGGUGGGGGUUGGAAAGUUUCGGCGGUUGGGGAUGGACUCGCGGCUUAUCAGCUUGUUGGUGGGGUAGUGGCUUACCAAGGCUUUGACGGGUAGCCGGCCUGAGAGGGUGACCGGCCACAUUGGGACUGAGAUAGGGCCCAGAAUGCAACGGGAGGCAGCAGUGGGGAAUAUUGCACAAUGGGCGGAAGCCUGAUGCAGAAACGCCGCGUGCGGGAUGACGGCCUUCGGGUUGUAAACCGAUUUCGCCUGUGACGAAGAGUGAGUGACGGUAAUGGGUAAAGAAGCACCGGCUAACUACGUG
rnacentral:rRNA from 1 species